UUUCACUUCUCUCUGUUUUUAAUUUCUCUCCUUUGUUCUCAAAUCUCUUCCCUUAAUUUUUCUUAUUUCUUCUCCUUCUCCUUCAUUACCACUUCAAAAAUUCAUGAUGCCGCUAUCACCACCAUCACCACCACUCAUGUCUCAUCUUCUCUUUUCUGUCUUAUUGUCAUCAACACAACUAAAAGUUUCAAUUAAUCACAUUUAGAUCUGUAAAAGAUAGGUUCCGAAACAACGAAAAAGCUUGACUUAUCUAAGCAUAAGCUUCUUUUUCAACAACAUGAAAGCUUUUCUCUCGAUCUGGGUUUUAAUUGUUGUUAUUUAGAAGUGAUGAAGAGAGUGAUGAUGAAGAGGGGCCUAAGUUUUUGUUAGACUUGCAGUUGUUCCUCCUAGAUCUGGAUUUUUGUUGUUCUUAUUUAGUGGAAAUUGAGACAUAUGUUUUUGUUAAAUUUGUCACUAUUCCUCUAGAAUAUGGUUUCAUUGUUGU